rnacentral:rRNA from 1 species
ACCCCAAACCGACACAGGUGGUCAGGUAGAGAAUACCAAGGCGCUUGAGAGAACUCGGGUGAAGGAACUAGGCAAAAUGGUGCCGUAACUUCGGGAGAAGGCACGCUGAUAUGUAGGUGAAGUCCCUUGCGGAUGGAGCUGAAAUCAGUCGAAGAUACCAGCUGGCUGCAACUGUUUAUUAAAAACACAGCACUGUGCAAACACGAAAGUGGACGUAUACGGUGUGACGCCUGCCCGGU